rnacentral:rRNA from 1 species
UACGAAGGGGGCUAGCGUUGCUCGGAAUUACUGGGCGUAAAGGGCGCGUAGGCGGAUAUUUAAGUCGGGGGUGAAAGUCCGGGGCUCAACUCCGGAUCUGCGGUGGGUACGGGCAGACUAGAGUGAUGUAGGGGAGACUGGAAUUCCUGGUGUAGCGGUGAAAUGCGCAGAUAUCAGGAGGAACACCGAUGGCGAAGGCAGGUCUCUGGGCAUUAACUGACGCUGAGGAGCGAAAGCAUGGGGAGCGAACAGG